rnacentral:lncRNA from 1 species
CACGAAGGGGGAGAGUGACCGAGGGCCACCACGGCCACCACAGCUCCUCCAGCCUGCUGGUGCCCCACUGCGUCCGGCUGCCACUCAUUCUGCGCCACCAGGUCAGGAAUCCUAGUUCAAGCAAAACCUCCUGACUGGGCAAGGGCAGGGCUCGGCCCCCUGAAAGCUGCCAGGACCUGGGAUUUGGGUAGAAGCGGGCCAGAGCUUCAGCAGAGCAGGCAUCUUCUGGACGAGGAGCCAGGCUCUCCGCCCGCCACCCUUGAUUGGAGAAAAGAGGCCAGAUCCAACCUGCAGCUGUGGGUCUACACCACAGCCACCGCAACGUGGGAUGUGAGCUGCGUCUGGGAUUUCCACCCAGCUCAUGGAACUCCUUGCCAGGUCCUUUGAAUUCAGACAUUCAAAAUGGCCCUGAUGUCAUCCCCAGCAUCAGCCAUCUGCCUGCCACCAGCACGGGAGGCGUCUCAGCAGCCCCCUCCCAGGGGCCUUCUUUCUCGGCUUACGGAAUGGAGGGAAAAGCGUGAACAUCGAGAAACAGCAGACAAGCGACCCCCAGGCCUAGCGAAGGUGAGCUGUGUGUGUGUGUGCGUGUGUGCGCCCUUCUCUCCGCUGGACCUGUUGGCAUCUUUCUCUUCCUCUCCACUGGGCUCCACGUAGAUUCAGCUGUUUCAGCCGAAGAGAAGGCUCAUGUAGUUGGGGUUCCAAGUGUGAUUUAGAAGAACCAAUAGCAGAGAAGAAAAGAAAGCUCACAGACAAAUGCUUUUCAUUAUCACGAGACUAGAAACUCGUGAUUAGGUUACUGGCUGAGGGCUGAGCAAAGGUCCCCAUCUCGUGUCCCACAGGAGUUGUCUUCACUGAUUGGGAGCGCCAGCCUCGAAGCCAGAUACAUUGGCACAAUUGUCGAGAUCACGUCUGGAUGACCUGAGCCGUAUUCGAGCUUCUUUGGCAUUUAAUGAACAAAAUUUCCUCCAAAGGCUUACAGUCCGAGAUUAGGAAAGCUAGCACUGAACUCUGUUUAGCUGAUUUACAGGCUGUCAGUUAAGGGGGCAGGCCCCCAAAUUCUCCCAAACUCAGAAAAGUGUCAAAGACCCACACCUGCAAUAUGCCCUCAUGCAAACUAGAAAGGCACACUGGUACGUCUCAUCUGUCAAAUGAGGGCAUUUGACAGAUGGUCUUCCUAGCGACUCACUCUGACUGUAAAAUUCCACGAAUGGACAUAUCUAGAAAUCUAGGGACCAGAUCACAUCAUCCCAAGGGGACAACUAUACCGGAAACACACACUUACUAAUGGCUCUGAAGCAUUAAACGAAGCCUGUCCUAUGGCUCAUACAGUCUGGCUUUGAAUCCGAUUCUUUACGCAAAGAACCCAACUGUAAGUCAAUGUUCUGAGGCUGUCAGAAAGACUGACCUGUCUCUCUCCCUAAUUCCAUCUCUCUUCCUGAGCCAUCCUUGGCUAAGCGGUAUUUCCCAGGUGUGCUGGACCCCAGCAGCUCCCUGGUGCACCUGUAGUUCCAGGCCUUUCCCCAAAACUCUGAUGGCGUUGGUCUGUGUUAGGGCCCAGAAAUCCAUAUUGCUAUCAAGCUGCUUUGAGAGUUCCUGAUUCUGAUGAUUAGACAAACACGGAAAAUCUUGAAUCAACGAUCCUGCCGGCGACCACAGCUGCCCCUUCCCUCCGGGGACAUGAAAUCAAAGGAUGACUCACGAUCACGGCGGGCGACCCUUCCUGGAGCACCGACGGAACGAGUCCCAACAGAACGAGUCCGGGUUAUCUGUGAAGUGUCCACACCAGGGACGCGGGGUUUGAGAACUCGACACUGUGCCGUGGUUUUCUUAGUCCUUCCGUUCCUCUGCCUUCCUGGUCCUGCUGCUUUCUCCUGGUUUCAUUUCUCUUACCUCAUAUCCUCUCACUGGAGAUUCGGUUGGGUUUUUUGGCGGGAUUUUUUUGUUUUGUGUUUUCUUUUUUCUUUUUACAGCUGCACCUGCAGCAUGUGGAAUUUCCUGGGUUAGGGGUCAAAUUGGAGCUGCAGCUGCCAGCUUACACUAUAGGCACAGCAACACUGGAUCUGAGCCACAUAUGUGACCUGCACCACAGCUCAUGGCAAAGCCAGAUCCUUAACUCAUUGAGCGAGGCCAGGGAUCGAACUCAGAUCUUCACGGAGACUUAUGGCAGGUUCUUAAUCCAUUUAGUCAUGAUGAAAACUCCUCAGUUGGGUUUUACGUUAGCUUUCCAGCUAUUUCUACGGCUUUUCAAAAUUAUUUCAUUCCUUUAAAAAUGUGUUUCUGUGUGGCCCCGCCCGUGGCAUGUGGAGGUUCCCCACCCGGGAUCACACCUGAGCCGUAGUCGAGACGAUGGUGGAUCUUUAACUGCUAGGCCCCGAGGGGACACCUACGGUUUUUAUAAAAAUAAUGCCUUCCCGUCUUCUGCAUUUCAAGUGACAUAAUUUACAUCAUUAUUUUUGGAUUUUUAAAAUAUUGUCUCAAUUCACCCUCUUGAUACCACCCUUUAUGAUACUGUGCUAAAUCAUGUCCGUUUUUUUUUAACCAGUCUUAGCCUGGGGGUCUGGCUCUCCAACAGAUGUCUUUGCCAUCCAGCUGUGUUAGCGCUGUCUUGUCAACUAAUCUUGUCAACUAAUUUACACCGGAAGCACAAGGCAGAUAAAUUAAAGUAUCUUUAGUUUACCUAGACUACUUCGACAUGCAUCCAAAAGCAUAAUAAGCAUAAACUAUGGAGAAUAAGUGCCAGAUUUUCUAGACACCAGGAGCAAUACCUUGGAGUUCCUGCCAUGGCGCAGUGGGUUAAGAACCUGACUGUGUUGGCUCAGGUUGCCGUGGAGGUGAGGGUUUGACCCCCGGCCUGGUGCAGUGGGUUAAAGGAUCCAGCCUUGCCACAGCUGCUGUGGAGGUCUUAGCUGUGGCUCGGAUUCAGUCCCUGGCCUGGGACCUUCCAGGUGCUGUGGGUGCGGCCAUAAGAACGGACCAAAUAACGAACGAACCAUUUCUUUCAGAACACGAUGACCCAUAAAUCAGCCGAGAGGGAUUCUCGAAGUAAAACCUAUCUCAGUCGCUUACAUCGGAUGUACUCCAGUGCCAUUGCUAACAUGGAGUUCUCCAGGAGACUGCUGGAGAGAAGCGGCCAGUUUACAGACGCGGACUCGGAGAGCAGAACCCGAGGGCUGGUCAGUGCUGUCGGGGUCUGGAAGCUGCACAGUGAGGCUCUGUCUAAGAUUUGGGCCGAGGGGUGUGGGCAGGGGCAGGUCAGCAGACUGUGCGGUGGAAGUUCUGGUGCACACAGGAGGGCUGCCUGGAAGCAGUGACCACCAUUUACAACUAAGGAUGGAGGAGGGUCCACCGGGGGCUGAACUCUUUCCAUGCGGGAUCUGGAUGUGACCAGAGGACAGAUCCCCCCUUGUUUUAGUUUUAGAAACAUAAAAAUCUAAUCUGGAGUCUGAUUUAAAAAUAAAAAGAAACUCGAGUUCCCACUGUGGCUCAGCGGUAAUGAACCCGACUAGUUCCCAUGAGGACACAGAUUCCACCCCUGGCCUCGCACAGUGGGUUAAGGAUCCGGAGUUGCUGUGACCUGUGGCACAGGUUGCAGAUGCAGCUUGAGUCCCGUGUUGCUGUGGCUGUGGUGGAGGCUGGCGGCUACAGUUCUGACUUGACGCCUAGCCUGGGAACUUCCAUAUGCUGCAGGUGUGGCCCAAAAAAGAAAAAGAAAAAGAAAAAGAAAAAAAGAAAGUCAAAACAAAAAAAAAAAACAAAAAGAAACCAAAGCAGCGCUCACCGUUCUGUGAUUUUUCGGCCGCUUCCCUCAUUGGCUUGAAAAGCCCAGUGAAGCUGCCCCUGGGAGGGCAGGGGGCAGCCCGGAGGAGGUGAGCCCAGGGACUUAAGUGGUAUUUCUUAGCCAUAAGGUACUAUCUUCUAAGAUAGCAAAUAAUUUAUAAUGAAGAUUUUAAACAUGAAUACAUAAAUACACAUUUUAGUGAUCAUUGCUAGUCCGACUUAACCAAAUUCUGUUUUAAAAAUUGUUUCUCACACUUUGAAUGUUAUGACAACAAGUUUAACAGGCAAAACGUAACAUUUGCUUCUGAACGCUGGACCACGUGUUCCCCAGUGGACACAGGCAGCGUGGAGAGCAGCCCCAGGAGAGGAUGGGGCGCCCCCGGCCGGCGGGUCUGGGGCCUCGGCCAGGAGUCCAGCCUCCCCUCAGCUUCCUGAGAUGCGACAGCCUGGCCAGUGGGACAAAAGAUUCCAAUCAAAGGACAAGAGGACACCACACAGCCCUGGGCGGCAUCUCUGCCUCUGAUUCCAUAUCAUACGGUAUCUGCCUUUCUCUGUCCUAUAUCACUUAGUGAAAUGCCUUCAAUAUCCAUCAAUGCUGUUGAAAUGGUAGGAUUUCCUUGUUUUCCCCCCAUUUUAAAUUUUAUUGAAGUAGAGUUGAUUGACAAGUUGUCAUCAUUUCUGCUGAAACAGUGAUUCAGUUGCAUACAUACACACAUCCGUUCUUUUUCAGAUUCUUUUCCCAUAUAGCUGAUCGCAGAGUACUGAGUGGGUGGAGUUCCCUGUGCUGUACAGCAGGUCCCCAUUGGCCUGUCAUUCAGUACUCAGUGCGCAUGUGCCAGUCUCAAAUCCCCGUUCACCCCUCCCCCCACCCCACCUGUCUCCUUUGGUAACCAUAGGUUUGUUUGCCAAGUCUGUGAG